AGCAACCCAGGGCGUCGGAAGCCCAGAGGGUUCCAGAGGGGAGAGAGCGACACAGUGACGGGCUGUCCCAUCGCAGGGGCCAUCUGCCAAGUCCCCCUGCUCCGGGGAGGCCGGUGCUUCUGGCUUCUCCAUUGGUUGGAUCGAACAGAUGCAGUGAUCACGAGCGAGCGAGCACGCCUCCUCAGGGAGCCUCCACAUUCCAGGAGCAACUCCAAACGCUGAGUCAUCGCCCGGCACCAACAGCUCCUUCCUCGGAAUCUCACGCUUACCUCUCGAAAACCACACUUCCCACACCCACAGCACCUCACGGCAUAUAUAGACCCUGACCUGCUAACAAUUAUUCUCACUUAUCCCCUCCCACGCGGUCUAAACAACUCCGGCUGCUGAUAAAUCCCAGGGGCUGCCUACAGUAGCCUCUCUCCAUCCUGUCCAAGGCAGUCUUUUGGGGGAAGAAGCAGAGACUUCUGUGGGUUACCCUGUGGGGUACAAGGGUGCCAGGAAACCUACUCGGUGUGUUUCAAAAGUAUGGCCCUAAGGAGCACCCAGCCUCUGGGUCACCAAAGGGAUCCCCCAAAGGCUCCGUAAGGCAUCCCACUCCAACGCAGAGCAUCCUGAACAGAGCCACGAGGAAGACGUGGAUUGACAUGGGGCAAAAAGAGGCUGACUGCACGGAUACAGUCCUGUGGGACAGCUCCUUGGGAGAGUAGGACACUGAUAUCCUUGCAAAUCCUUGGCCUCAGCACAAAACUGGGGAGGACAGUCUAGUCCUCGGGCCCCAGACAAACCCAGAGAGGCGCUAUCCGGAGCUGGAUGGGAUGCAGUGCCCACACCCUCCUAGAAGUUGGAUUCCUUCCAUGCAUCCGUCUCCAGGACUGUCACAGAGAGAGGCAGGCCCAGGGCCAGAAAUCUCACUCCCCUAGGAGACACGUGUGACCAUCUCUAAUGGAGUACCCACAGGGAGAAGUUGAGCAAUAGAACAGGGACUGAGGCAGCUGAUGAACCAUCUUUAGUCCAGGAUUUCCUUGUUAAGAAGCCUGAUGUGAUACUGAUAUCCUGCUCCGCCUGUUCCUUCUGGAGAUCCUCCAGCAAGCCCAGC